GAGUGGUGGCGGCGGCGGCGUGCGGUGGUACUCGUGCUCGCACGGCACGGAGCGAGCGGUGCAGGCCGACGGCGGAGGGCACCAUGGGGCAGACACGUGCCAUGACACCACUGGUGCUGACGCUGGUGCUGAUGAUAGCUGUGAAAGCGGUGACCUGUCUACAGAGUUUCCAUCAGGAGCCGCAAUACACAGAGGUCAACCCGGGUCAAUCGGCCGUGCUGCACUGCAAGGUCAACAGCAAGGCCGGGCAGUGCUCCUGGCAAAAGGACGGAUAUCCGAUUGGUCCGGAGAAGAACAAGUACGAGUGGGCCAAUGAGGCUGAGAUGGAUCGAGGUGACUGCUCUCUGCGAGUGCUCGGGGCCGAUUUGAAGUACGACGACGGCCUGUGGUCGUGUCAGGUCACGGCCAGCAGCUUCCAGACGCAGGACGCACUUCGGUCGGUGCCCGCGCCGCUCGUCGUCAGAGUCGUCCCGGAGCCACCUCAGAUCGUGUACUCCUCGGUGGCUAUCGCCUCGGGCCGUAACCUGACCGCGCGACUGGAGGACCUGGUGACGGUCCAAUGCACCUCCGCCGGUGGAAACCCUCCAGCAGCUAUCCGCUGGUUCGUCGGCGAGGAGGACCUCACGGCGCACGCCACUCAGCAGAACAUCAGUGACUCGGACGUGCCACGAACCUGGACGGCUGUUUCCACGCUGCGGCACACGUUUCUGCGCCGCCAGGCGGGCUCGUACCUGCGCUGUGUGGCUCUGCACCAGGCCUGGGAGAGCCAGUCGCAGGACACAAUCGCUCGACUGGACCUGCAGUACGCGCCCGAGCUGAGCAUCGUCGCGCCCACUACCGAGGACCUCGAGGACAACGUCUCGGCAGCGGUUCUGCAGUGUCGUGUCGACGCCAACCCGCCGGCCAAGGUGGUCUGGCGGUUCGCGGCCGCCGGUACCGGGCGAGGCGAGGAGUAUUUUGUCGAGCAGCUGGAGUUUCGACCGGUGGCACGCCAGAACUCGGGGACCUACGAGUGCGAGGCCAGCAACCACAUCGGCAAGAGCCGGCCCCUGAGCGUGACGCUCGACAUCAAAUACGCGCCUCGGAUAUACCGCGUGCACCCGACGCGUCACGUGACCGUCUCGCUGCACAACUCGACCUCUCUGGAGUGUGAGGCCGAGGCGAACCCGCCACCAUCCUACCGAUGGCUGCAGACCCGCGGACCCCAGCCCAGCACUGUGCGCGGCUCUGGCGGGCGGCUGACACUGGAAAAUGUCACCUACGAACACCGCGGUCGCUACAUCUGCCUGGCGACCAACGUGAUCAACGGAGAGGAGCGAGCGGACCGCUCCGAGCCGGUUCAUCUGAAGGUGGUCGGACCGCCCCAGAUGCGGCGCGCUGCCGAACCUCUCCAGCUGCCGCUGGGGAUGGUGCCGGCGGUGCGCGGUCAACAGGCAGUUCUGGAGCAGAGGUUCUGCUCCGACCCGGCCCCCAGUCGCGUCACCUGGCUCUGGGACGACCAGCGCCUGCAGGCUGGCCACGUCCGGGGACGAUUCGUCGCAGAUGAGGUCGUUCAGGAUUCGGCCGAAGCCUGUUACAAGACCCGCCUGAGGAUCCAGUCGGCCGGUCCCGCCGACGAGCAAGAGUACGUCAUUAUCGUCGAGAACCCGCUCGGCUCUGACCGUCACGCGCUCGCACUUCAGGUCAAAGGCGUCCAGCUGCUGGCCGAGCCCGUUUCCAUGGUAACCGUGAUGGCCAUCGCUGGCUCCGGUCUUCUGCUGCUCAUUGUUCUGAUCGCCAUCAUAUGCCACGCCUUUAAGAAAGGACAAUGCUGCUUCUCUCAUAAAGGAGGCUUCAAGCCUACGGACAUCGAAAGUGAGAAGGCCGACACCAACGGACACGGUGAGGCAGCCGGUCGCAAUGGGCUCGGGGCCAUCCCACCGGAUGCCCUCUACGCCGGCCCCAAGAAACCGCCGCAGGGCAUAGCGAGCUACGAGGUGAGGGCGCCCACCAACGUCUAGUUCCGGCGCCAGCCGCCUGGUGGCAGCACCUGCGCCCCAACCCGCCGCAAUUCUGUGGCGAGGAGGACGAUCGAGCGGACCGACCCACCGUCUACAGCACCUCCUGUGGCGGCGGCGGCGGUAUCAUCUACGCCGACCUCCAGCUGCCCAGAGCCUCCAACAAUGGCUCCAUGAGAAAGCUCCGCCAGGCGCGGAGGCCGGGCCGGCAGGUCGAGGAUACCGCGCCGAGCGCCGCACCACCAGCUGUGGAGUACGCCGUGAUCAAGUUCCCGUCGAAAGCUGGUGUGGAGGGUGAACGGACGCAGGUGUAGUGUCGGGACAGGGUGUGGCGGUACGGACGCCAGAGUUCGGCUAGUGAUGGACGCGCCGCGCGAGUGGUGGUUCGUGACGGAACUGGACACGGUGCGGGGACUCGGACGCGGAUUGUGGCGAGUUUAGACUGUGUCUGGCGCCGUGCCGCGGCUGUUGUGACGUCGUGACGCGGACACUGACUUCAGGGAGACCGUCACGGAACAUACCGGGAUGUUCGCGAUAAUCGUGCUGCCACGUGUCCGGUGGCGACCCAGCCACGUGUGCCACGUGCGGCACGUGCCACUGGGGUGCCCCCCGUGCCGGUCUAAGGCGCGGAUUUUGUACCCGUAACGGCGGCCUAGUCGAUUUUGUACCAGCCGUCGCUUGGCGCGCGCGCGCGCGCACGUGCGCCACUGAUCUCGCUGUGCCCCGUGUGAGGUGUGAAUGUACAAAGCAAUAAUGAGCCGUCAUUCUCUGGCGGAAUCACACGCCAAUUGGUCUGGCGGUGCGGCGCCUCGCUUGCCAUUCAUUCGUAGCCGUCGGCGCCGUUUAUUCAGGGUAAUAUGUGAGCUGCAGUUCGCUGUUUCUUUUGCAGCAAUUAUGCUGUCGGUUUUGCUUCUUCGAACGUGUAAUGGCUCGGUAACAACUAAAUUGGUGUGCUCGUUUUAUUAUAAUACUUCGUCGAUUGUUUACACCAGGUGCGACAAUUAUUUACAUUUUUCUGUACAUAAGGUAUUAAGUAUCUACAUCAUUGAACUACUUUUUGAAUAUCCCACGGGCAUUUUAUUCUUUACUUUAGGCAAUUGAUUGCCUAAUCUAGGAAAAACAUUGAGAACAGCUAUCCAUAAACAGUCGCUAUCCAUUGAUGCGUUUCUGGAUGUCUUCUAUUUGUUUCAUACCGGAUAUAACCAGCCACUGAUACAUUCGUCUAGUCUUAUGAAGAGCGUGUCAUAGUUUUUACUAAGUAAUGGUGUGCAAGUGAAUUGUCAUUUAUUUGCGUCGUCUACGCACUCAUACAUGCGCCAUGUAUUGUUAAAUAAACUAAACUUUUUGUGUCA